UACGAAGGGUGCAAGCGUUAAUCGGAAUUACUGGGCGUAAAGCGCGCGUAGGUGGUUUGGUAAGUUGGAUGUGAAAGCCCCGGGCUCAACCUGGGAACUGCAUCCAAAACUGCCAGGCUAGAGUACGGUAGAGGGUGGUGGAAUUUCCUGUGUAGCGGUGAAAUGCGUAGAUAUAGGAAGGAACACCAGUGGCGAAGGCGACCACCUGGACUGAUACUGACACUGAGGUGCGAAAGCGUGGGGAGCAAACAGG
rnacentral:rRNA from 1 species